GUAUUGAUUGCGUGUGACCGCAAAAACAAAACAUUCUAGACUGUAUCAAAUUUUGUGUGAAAACGUGAGCCCUCCUGCAAAGGGGGGACCCGCGCGGUGAUGCACAAAGGGUGAGAUGGAUUGUGAGAGGGCUCGGGCGUGCACGACCCGGAAAGGUCAGCGACAGCCCUCGCGCCUCGGUUGUACGAUAAUGAUCCUUCCGCAGGUUCACCUACGGAAA
rnacentral:misc_RNA from 1 species